rnacentral:pre_miRNA from 1 species
UAAAGUGCUUAUAGUGCAGGUAGUGUGUCGUCAUCUACUGCAUUACGAGCACUUACAGU